rnacentral:rRNA from 1 species
CGUUUGAUCCCGGCGGAGGUUACUGCUAUCGAGGUUCGACUAAGCCAUGCGAGUCGAAUGUAGCNAUACAUGGCGAACUGCUCAGUAACACGUGGACAACCUGCCCUUAGGACGGGGAUAAACCCGGGAAACUGGGUAUAAUACCCGAUAGGUCUCGAUUGCUGGAAUGCAUCGAGAUUUAAAGCUCCGGCGCCUAAGGAUGGGUCUGCGGCCUAUCAGGUAGUAGUGGGUGUAGCGUACCUACUAGCCUACGACGGGUACGGGUUGUGAGAGCAAGAGCCCGGAGAUGGAUUCUGAGACACGAAUCCAGGCCCUACGGGGUGCAGCAGGCGCGAAAACUUUACAAUGCUGGCAACAGCGAUAAGGGAACCUCGAGUGCCAGGUUACAAAUCUGGCUGUCGAGAUGCCUAAAAAGCAUUUCAUAGCAAGGGCCGGGCAAGACCGGUGCCAGCCGCCGCGGUAACACCGGCGGCUCGAGUGGUAACCGUUAUUAUUGGGUC